CAACUACACCCUCUGUCCCAAAUUUCUUGUCUUAGAUUUGUCUAGAUACGGAUGUAUCUAAUACUAAAAUGUGACUUGAUACAUCCGUAUCUAGACAAAUCUAAGACAAGAAUUUUGGGACGGAGGGAGUACUUU
rnacentral:pre_miRNA from 1 species